AUGCCGGGCUCCAUCGCCUUCGGUCGCUUCGAUGACUCCUUCAGCUUGGCCUCUUUCAGGGCCUACAUCGCCGAGUUCAUCUCCACCCUCAUCUUCGUCUUCGCCGGCGUCGGCUCUGUCAUCGCCUACACCAAGGUGAGCGGCGGCGCGCCGCUUGACCCAUCCGGGCUGAUCGCCGUGGCGAUUUGCCACGGGUUUGGGCUGUUCGUCGCGGUCGCCAUCGGCGCCAACAUCUCCGGCGGCCAUGUGAACCCUGCCGUCACCUUCGGCCUCGCCCUCGGCGGCCAGAUCACCAUCCUCACCGGCAUCUUCUACUGGGUUGCCCAGCUCCUCGGCGCCAUCGUCGGCGCCUUCCUCGUCCAGUUCUGCACCGGCGUGGUACGUAUCCUCAGCCCAUGCAUAUGUGUGCGCUUUUCCGGCCGGUGGAGCACGAAAACGAACGACACUAAUACGGACUGUUUCCUUUCUCAGGCCACCCCUACACACGGGCUUUCCGGCGUGGGCGCCUUUGAGGGCGUCGUGAUGGAGAUCAUCGUCACCUUCGGGCUCGUCUACACCGUGUACGCCACCGCCGCCGACCCCAAGAAGGGAUCCCUCGGCACCAUCGCCCCCAUCGCCAUCGGCUUCAUCGUCGGCGCCAACAUCCUCGUGGCCGGCCCCUUCUCCGGCGGGUCCAUGAACCCUGCACGCUCCUUCGGCCCCGCCGUUGCCAGCGGCGACUUCACCAACAUCUGGGUCUACUGGGCCGGCCCGCUCAUCGGCGGUGGCCUCGCCGGCGUCGUCUACCGAUACCUAUACAUGUGCGACGACCACAGCCCCGUCGCCGGCAACGACUACUAA
rnacentral:rRNA from 1 species